UCCCAGGUGGCUCAGUGGUAAAGAAUCCGCCUGCAAUGCAGGAGACCCAGGUUUGAUCCCUGGGUUGAGAA
rnacentral:tRNA from 1 species